rnacentral:misc_RNA from 1 species
AUGUGAGGAAGCAACGACGUACGCACACAGAACUCUUGGCACAUUGAGCCCUCGAAAAGUACUUUAGGCAGAUCUGAGAAUGAAGCCCGCUUGUUGCUGCCAUCUACAACGACCAGUGCAAACUCAUCCACUCGGGGAACGCGCUGCUCCACUGACGCAUAAAUGAGCGAGUCGUUGUCCGCCGCAUCCGCUGCUGUGCAGCAGAUUGACGAGUCGCUCGUCUCGUCAUGUAGGGCCACGUCGAACCCGUACAAGCGCUCGAUGCUGCGCUUGCUCGAGUGCGUGGGGCUGCAGCAUUACGGCACCCCGCGCGCCACGAUGCCGCCGCGCACGAGCGAGGAGGCGGCGCGUAUCGCUCAGCACUUGGACGAGGUGAGGGAGGCAGUAGCUCGCCACCAGGAGAGCGUGCGACGCCGCAGCAUACGCAUCAACAAACGCAAGCUGAACAGUGAAGUGGUGCGUGCUAUGCAGUGUGCCGUAGCCGCUUCCGGUGCAACGAAGUCUGAUGGCGCGUGCCCCACUGUGAGCAAUGAUUCAGCGGCAGGCUCCAGCGGCAGGCUCGCAGAGCUGCCCACGAUCUACCUCAGCCUUGAGGAAUCGGUGGAGUGGAAGGCGUUUCUUGCCAGCGUGGAGCGCGAGGAUCGCCACGCCGUGACGGUGCUGCGCCGGCUUUCUGUCGCGCUUUGGCGCGCGCAUCAGCGCGAUCUUUGCUUAUGGUGCUGGUUUCCUAGCGAGGUGUGCAUGUGCGCCGAGCUCGACGCCUACCGUGCCACACUGCCGGCCGCCGUGCUGGAUGAGCAUGUGGAGGUGACCAUGCUGCUGCACAGUGAGGAGCUGAUGCGCAGCACGAACUCGGGUCACAUCGCUGCCUAUCUACUAGGCGCGCCUUUGCGCGUCUGGGGACUCGGCGAGGAUGACACAUAUCUGCAACAGCUGCCGCCGGUGGAGCACCGUCAGGCCGCGUGCGCAGCCGAAGGGCCAGCGGUCGUCUAUCACGUCUCCCUUUAUCCGUCUUCGGACGCGGUCAGCAUCCACCACCACAUCCGAAAUGCGCAUCUCUUCCCCUCCCGGAGGGACCACGGAAGCAGCAAAGAGAGGGGAAGGGGCGAAGGCAGCACUCCCCAAGAAGAGAUCGACAUCGAUGGUGUUGAUCGUCGUGCUUGUGCUAACGCGGCCAACCAGAUGCCACGCGCACCCGCACCGGCAACGGAGAACAACAGCGAGGGUGCGGCAGUGCACCCCGCGCCACCGCUGACCGUCGCGGUAAGUGGCUCACAUUCGAAACGCAAGGUGCACCUCAUCCUUCUCGACAGCACGUGGAACCAGGCGCUCUCCUUGAACCGUCACAUCACUCGCUCAAUCCCUCGCGUUUCUCUCGAGAUUGCCGAUGACUACGAGUCCCUCUUUCAGGCGUUGCGCAAGCGCACCCGCGAGACUUGUGUGAGCACGUUGGAGGCGACCAGCAUGGCAGUAGCGCAGUGUGUGCGGGCCAUGGGCUACGCUGCCGAGGCUGCAUCCACCUCACAGACGCUCUCGGAUGCCAUGAAGAGGUUUGUGGACGCCCGAUGCCUUCUCAAGUACGCUAAUGCACAGUUCUCGACAAGCGGCGAGGCCCUUGAGGCGUUCUGCAACCGGCGCGACGAUGCGCGUCGUAGGGAUGCCGCCCGUCGCCAGGAAGUCCUUGCCGCCCAGAUGCAAGCCGACGAGAGUGCUCGGCGCCUUCGCCUCCCGCCCGUCUUGAACUACUGCUACGUCUGCGACUGCGUGAUUGGGUGGCAUCGCAUGACAGAGCACGUGAUGGGCCGCAGCCAUCGCACGGCGCUCGAGCGCAACCCCUCAUGCACCCCCUCUGCCGUAUCUCGAAGGGUCGUAGUGCCGGACUUCUCGCGCCCACGACGCCUCGCCGAGAAGACUAAAGGUACCGUAAAUGCGCCUCGAUUCAGCGGCGCAAAAGCAGAGAGCGAGCACCUGCCUGACGAGCUUACUCAGCGCACAGGCUCUGACUAAGCACUCCGCGAGGAACGGCGAAAGAGACAGACAGAGAGGCGGCCACCUCUACGCCCAUUUUUCGGCGGAGUUUCCCUCGUGUAUUUCUGCGUGUUUCACUGACCCGGCUCUCUCUAUCCCUAGUUGUUCUCACCACCACGACACCGGCGCUGUCUUCCUCGCCUUUCUGCGCCCCUCCCCCUUCCCGCCACCCACUCAUCCCCCCCCCCAACACACACCGCGCAGUUCACAGGACGGCACGAAGAGUGCGGACGCUCCUCUCCUCUGGUAAGCAAUGCUGGAAUGCGAUCUGCC